rnacentral:sRNA from 1 species
CCCUAACCCUGAUGGCAGCGGCAUCUCCCGAUUUAGGAAAACAAGGCUUUUUUAGCCGUAGUUUUUUUAAAUUAGGAAUACAGCGAACAGCAGGAAAUUGC